CUAUCUCAACGGACUUGGAAAGGUGAGCGAUUUCUCCUUUUCUUUUUAUUGAUUUCCUUAUGUUUUGCGAAUCUUCUCCGAUUCUCGACCGAGGAUCUUGAUUAUCAGUGAAGAAAUGGGAUAUUUCUGUCAUGAUUUUGGAUUUUAUCGCCUCAUUUGCUGCAUUUCCUGCGUUUUUGCUCUCGUUUCUCCAUUUAGGGUUUUGUUUAUGUGGUUAAAACUGUUUGAUAAGAUGCCUCGACAAGGAUGGCUACGUAUGUUGCUGAUUUUAUAAAUGGGUUGCAGGUAAAGAAGGGCUUGCAUAAGUCCAUGAGCAGGGGCUGUAAAUGUAGAGGCGGCUGGCUAUGAGGCUGGGGCUGGGCUUGCUGCUGAGCCUGAGGAUGUGGAUGAGGCUGGGGCUGCUGCAUCUGCAUAUGAGGAGGAUGUUGGAGGUGGGGCUGAGGGGCUUGGCGUGGUAGUGGUGUGUAUACGCCAUCCAAUCCAUUCUUCAGACUUGCCCCACCAAGAUGAAGGGACACCCAAAAAUCAGCUAUUUCAAAACUCAGUGUUUGGGUGAUGAUAAAUAAACGGACUAGAAGAUUGUCCCAAAUGCCGGAAGAAGUUAGAGGGGAAAUAGAACCUUAUUUUAUCGAGCAUGCUGCUAUCUUGGAUGAGGACAGCCGAAAACUGCUAAAGCUCAACGAUAACUCUGCGGAUUACAUCUGAAGAGGCUUAACUGUAAGUCUGUGGUUGGCUUGUUAAAGUUGGCAUUCAUUCUGAUUCACAAUAGUUUAUGUUUAUAGCAAUGACCUGUAAUUACUCUUUUAAACCCACAGCCUCGAUGGAAUGUUUUGGAUGUCAAUCAGCAUGUGAACAAUGUCAAAUACAUUGGUUGGAUUAUCGAGGCCUUGUGGCAACUCCUAUGGGUCAUUCCUAGAAAGUCCUCCACCUUCCAGAAGUCUGCUACCAACUUCUCUGAUCAUAAGAGACUUUCAAUACAUUUCUUUCAACAUAAAGUUGGCAUUGUAACCUCUGAGCUCCUCACUCAGUUGCGAGACUGGAAUAACAGACGACGGUUUACACCCCCACUGAUUUUCAUGCACAAGAAGCAGUGGAUGAUAUUUUUAUCUCUCAGGUAUUAGUUUCUUACAUGAGAAGAUGAACAUGAUGUUUGAAGUAGAUGUUACCACAAACUAUAGUGGGCCUCAUGGAUCUGUGCGUUCCACCUGAAGCCGGCUACAACUCUUACAGAGGAUUCUAGUCCAACAUCCUAUGGGAUUGAGUGUGGGCUUCCCUCCAUUGGAGAAUAUGACAGACAUGAAGAUAUUGCGAGUUGAAUUGAAUAUACUACUAUCCUUGGUAUAUAUAACAAUGUCAAUGGUCUCUUGUUUCAUUUGUUUUAUGAAGUACAUUGCUUGGCUGAUGCACCAGGAUACUAAGAAAUUGCUUGAUUUCUACUGAAAUCCCAAAAUUUAUUAACGACAACAUGAAGAAUCUCAAAACUCUUCUUUUUGCUGUUGUUGGGCUGGUGGGCCAUCAACGAACCAUACGGUCUAUUUAGGUGAGCAGUUGUUUGAUUCAUAAAAAUUCAUCUAUAUUUGAUACAAUGUUAUUUUAAACUAAGGAGAAUUGCUCCUUGCUUUUGCUAACCAGGGGCUUAUGAUGAGGAAGAAUCUGCAGCAAGGGCUUACAAUCUGGCCACAAUUGCUCCAAAACUCAAGUGGACAACACCACAGGAAACAAUGGACACUUACAAUUAAAAAGUUCUUGUAGCCACAAGUUUUGAAUCAAGCUGAUUUAUGUGUUUUCCCUUCAACCAGGUCCUUGUGACUUUAUGGACAGGCACCAUCACAAUGGCAGAUGGGAAGCAAGGAUAGGAAGGGUUUUCGGAAACAAGUACCUCUACCUUGGAACUUACAGUGAGUGUUAUUUCUUUAAUAUCUAAUCAAUCUUCCCCAUUGUUCCAAGACUUGGACAAGUACCAUACAGACUCAUCCAGUCAACUCAGAUUUUAAUACCCAGAGUCACCCCCGAUCGACUAGGGCAAUUAGUCAGGCUGAUUCACCCCCGACUCAGGUCUAAAUUGAGAAAAUCCGAGAGUCACCGAGCCUUUUAAUCAUUUUGACAAAUAUUGUGUCUUUGGGUUCAUCAAGUCAGCGAGCUGACUCAGUUAACCCGAUGAGAUUUUGAGCUGAGUCAUCAGGUUCAGGAAUAAAAAGCCUCAGUUUGGUGGGCUAUGUUGGAAUUCACAGCUCAUGAUUCAGAGAUUUCAUUCUAAAGCCGGAGCUUCUUCGAGUCAUUUGUAGGUUCUGGAUUUGAGCAUCCUUUAGAAGGAAAAUUCUUGUCAAAUUCUUCUCAUUUUAUGUUUGACUUCAUGAAAAAUACAGAUUUUCUGGUUUUUUUUAUUGUUGCAUCUGAUCUUUGAAUCUACUAUGGGUUUUCAGCAAAUCUAUGUGAUUUUUUAGAAGAAUUUCAGCAUCUGUUGCUAGUUUGGUUGUUUUAUUUUUACUUUUUGUAGUCAUUUGUCAUGUUUUACAUAUUUGGAGACAUGUAAUCUGUUGAAUUCAUGUAAUAAAUUUGGUAU